rnacentral:lncRNA from 1 species
UCCCUCUCAUUCUCUCUGUCUGCCUCUCUUGCCUUCUUGUGAUCUCUGUCAAAUAAAUUUAAAAAAAAAUGAUGCUAUUAAAGCAAGAAUCAGUUCAUGAUCCUUGUCUUUUUAAAACUCUCCAACAGUUUCCCAUUUUCCCCACUGUAAAAGCCAAAAGCCUUCAUGAUUAGGAUAACCACACUUACCUCAUGAUUCCUCAUCUACGGUCCCACUACAGUACGCCUGUUGCCUGAGUUCAAUGUUAACAAGGUCCCCUGUGCUCAGAAGUGACCCAGGGUGCUCUCUGUGUCACAUGGCCACUCAACCCACCCACCCCCCCAAGUCCUACCCAAUAGGCAAAGCACCCUCACCUCUCCCCAUUUCCUUGCCCCAGCCUCCAAGAACGCGCUAUGGCCCAGAAGCCUUGAGCUUCCUUUGUCUCCUGGGCGCAGGUACCGACUUCUUAGUGACAUCUCCUCCACCAGUCCCAUUUAAAUUGAACCACAGCCUCCACCCCACGCCCCUUCCCUAUUCUUUUUUCUCCAUAGCACUACCACCACCUAUGUCGUGCACUUGUCUGGUUCCCUGACUACCUAGUCGCAAUGGAAAGUUAAACUCCACGAAACAGGAACUUCUGCCAUAAGCUUCGCAGCCGCAAUACAGACCCUGGCACGGGCGGGGGCGGGGCGGGGGGUGCUCCUCACGUGACUGCAGCGGGCCCCCCCCCACCCCCGACCCUCCUGCUGGGAAGGGAAGAUGGCUGCGCCCAGGGUGGCCUCAGAGAGAGAGGGCAACCAACGAGAGGGCGCCUGCCCGCUAGAGCGUCUGCGCCUCGCCUGGGUCUGCGGUUGCGUGCUGGGAAGGCGCGAAUUCUGGGGCUACGUGCGGGUCCUCCUCCCCACCAUUUUUUUUUUUAUGGAGAAAGGAAUUAGCUCAUCCUCAGAGUCGUUUGAUGUGACCUGCCUGCUGCUUCACCGCCGCUUGCGAUCCCCGGCAUCCGAGAGCGCAAGAGAGAGCAUGAGCAGGAGGAGGGCCAGAGGGAGCAGGAGAAGCAGACUCCCCACUGAUCAAGGAGCCGGAUACGGGGCUUGAUUCCAUGACCUGAGCCUAAGGCAGCCGCUUAACCAACUGAGCCACCAGUUGCCCUUCUAACAAAGUUCUUAUGAUGAAUUAAAUAUGAUAAUGUUCGCUUUUAAAAACAAAUGCAGACAUAAAUAAAUAAAAGGUAAAGUGUAAGACUUUCCUCAGCCUUUCCAAUCUAUAGUCUACUCCAACCCCCGCCCAUGGGGCAGCCUCCAUCACCAACAUACGCCAGUAAUUUCUUUAUCUCCAGCCAGAAAGCUACCUCUGAGCUCUGGACCAGUUAAGCUCAGUUCUGGUUGCCUGCAUAUCUUCCUCCCCUGUGGCCCCUGGUACUCUUGCUCCUACCUAGCCGCCCAGGUCUGAAACUGGCAUCGUGCUUGAUUUCAGUCUCCCCCACUCCCAUGACUAGGUUCAAAGACCUUCCUGCUCUAGGUGCUCGAGAACACUUCUGCCCUUUCGAGUUCUCACUGUCCUUUGGUUUCUCUGCCUUCAGUCUUGAUCCCUUUCAGCCUUUUCUCUAAAGUGAUACAAGUGGGAUCCUUCUGUACAAAUCUGAUGGGGUUGCCUAAAAACCCUUCAGUCAUUCCCAAGAUGUGCAGGACAAGCCCGCACUCCCGAAAUGUCCUAUGAUGACAGAGGCUGUCUUGCUCACCUCUUCAGCUCGUCCACUGUCACUCUCCUAGCAAUCUACACCCUGGUGUCCCAAACUCUGGCAGCUCAGGGACAAUCUCACCAUGUCCACACUUUUUUUUUUCCCCUAAAGAUUUUAUUUAUUUGACAGAGAGAGAGACAGCAAAUGAGGGAACACAAGCACAGGGAGUGGGAGAGGGAGAAGCAGGCUUCCUGCUGAGCAGGGAGCCCAAUGUGGGGCUCAAUUCUGGGACCCUGGGAUCAUGACCUGAGCCGAAAGCAGACGCUUAAUGACUGAGCCACCCAGGCACCUCAACCACCAUGUCCACACUCUUGUGUUUGCUAUUCCUUCUGCCCUUUUUUUUUUCCUGAGCAAAGANNNNNNNNNNNNNNNNNNNNNNNNNNNNNNNNNNNNNNNNNNNNNNNNNNNNNNN